GUUCAUUCUAGUUGUUUGAAAACUCUAAAUUAUAUGUGAUAUCUAUAGUAACUACUGGCUAGCCAGAAUUUUUCAUUUAAGAGAACAAUCCAUUUCCUGGCUAAAGCGAGUUAUCUACAUUUUAUUUAUCAGGGUGCAGUAGGAGAGACUAGCUUCAGAGAAUGUCACAGGGGUGUUCUCAGGAGCACUAGAAGUACUAGCAAAUGGAAGAGGGAUAAGAACUUUUCUGUUUGGCUAAUAGGGAAAUACUGAGAGUAAUGGAGAAAAGUUGCAAAGUAAAAUUGGGUGUUAUAUAAGGAGAAACUGAACAGUGCAAAAGGGAAAUGGUCAGUCUCAGGAAGAUGCCCCUGAGCCCUUACUAAGGUCUUUGCAGAAAAAUUGGAUGGUUGCUUCCUAGGAAUUUCGAGGGAGAAGGGACAGUUCUUUGGGAGGUACAUAUUGGACAAGAGUAUUUCUGAGAGCUCUUUUAACUCUGAAAUCUUCAUAUUCUAGGCUCCAUCAACUGGAAGUUUUUAUUCUAUCUGGCCUGAAGAUUUACUUGGCCUGCUCAAAGUCUCAAAAAAUGUCACUUGAGGUGAGCUUUCCAAUUGGCAGGCUAGCUGAUGAAGAUUCAACCAACAUUCCCAGUUCUUUUUGGCAUUCUUACAGAUUGUUCAAUGUUGUAACAAGCAAGAAAGUAUAAAAAAAAGCCCAAGUGAUGAUUAAAUUCUUAUUAAGAGAUGUGCAGCCUCCUGAGCCCUCCAUUGAAAUACAUAGUUUAUUUCAAAUGCUUUUAUUUCUGUGUUCAAGUUUCUGAAUAAUAUAUAUUGAUGUGCUGUGACUAUAAAUGGAAUCUGAUGUGAUGUCAUGGAUAAGGACCAUUUUUGAGAAAUCUAAUGUUUGUCAUUUAUUAAUUACUUUAAGAAGCACAUAGUAAAUGAAAAAUGAGUUAUCUCUGGCCUAAUGAGUGUGAUCUUACUUUCCUUGCAUAUUCACAAAAACCUUCAACUGGAUUCAACAGGUGUCUGUAAAUGUGCCAGAGUAUAGAACAUACUGCACUCACCAACAGCCUUGGAUAUCUUUCACAACCUGUAAGUGACUCUUCAAAUUUUCCUCAGGAGUAGCUAUUUCUUUAUACACACAUGCGCGCAUACGCGCACCCAAAUUUCCACAUAAGUUUUCCUAAGUUAUAUGUAAGUAUAUAUAAUGUAUAUAUAUAAGUUCUCUCUCUCCCACCCUUCGUUUCCCCCUUGUAGUGCGGGCAGGAGAUAUGAUCUGGGUUAUAUCUGAUUAGCACACAAAACACAUUUCCAUAUUGUUCAUUUUUGUAAGUGAAUAAUGUUAUAAAACCAAAGCCCUAAAACACACACCCAAAUAAACAAGUGACAAAUCAUCUGCUUCCA
rnacentral:lncRNA from 1 species